rnacentral:rRNA from 1 species
AAGAAGCGACCACGCGAGUGUGAGCGAAUCUCAAAAAUAACGUCUCAGUUCGGAUUGUAGUCUGCAACUCGACUACAUGAAGCUGGAAUCGCUAGUAAUCGCGGAUCAGAAUGCCGCGGUGAAUACGUUCCCGGGUCUUGUACACACCGCCCGUCACACCAUGGGAGUCAGCAACGCCCGAAGUCAGUGACCUAACCGAAAGGGAGGAGCUGCCGAAGGCGGGGCUGGUAACUGGGGUGAAGUCGUAACAAGGUACC